GCAAGUCGAACGGUAACAUGGAGAGCUUGCUCUCUGAUGACGAGUGGCGGACGGGUGAGUAAUGCGUAGGAAUCUGCCCAACAGUGGGGAAUAACCUGGGGAAACCCAGGCUAAUACCGCAUACGCUCUGUGCUUAGGUAUAGAGGAAAGCGGGGGACUUUCGGGCCUCGCGCUGGUGGAUGAGCCUACGUCCGAUUAGCUAGUUGGUGGGGUAAGAGCCUACCAAGGCGACGAUCGGUAGCUGGUCUUAGCGGAUGAUCAGCCACACUGGGACUGAGACACGGCCCAGACUCCUACGGGAGGCAGCAGUGGGGAAUAUUGGACAAUGGGGGCAACCCUGAUCCAGC
rnacentral:rRNA from 1 species